rnacentral:rRNA from 1 species
UACGUAGGGUGCAAGCGUUAAUCGGAAUUACUGGGCGUAAAGCGUGCGCAGGCGGUUUUGUAAGACAGGUGUGAAAUCCCCGGGCUUAACCUGGGAAUGGCAUUUGGGACUGCAAGGCUGGAGUGUGGCAGAGGAGACUGGAAUUCCUGGUGUAGCAGUGAAAUGCGUAGAUAUCAGGAGGAAUACCGAUGGCGAAGGCAGGUCUCUGGGCUGACACUGACGCUCAUGCACGAAAGCGUGGGGAGCAAACAGG